rnacentral:rRNA from 1 species
UGGAAGUCUGCGAAAAGCGUGGGGGAGUUGACAACAAGCGUUAAUCCCACGAUGUCCGAAUGGGGAAACCCACCUGUACCUCUAAACUACUUUAGCUUUAACUUUGCCAACGGCAAAGGUCAAAGCCCACUAUGACAAUAAGCAUAGCGGCGAGGUGAUUUAGAGGUACAGGUAUCACAUGUUGAAUACAUAGGCAUGUGAGGCGAACCGGGAGAACUGAAACAUCUAAGUACCCCGAGGAAA